GAAAUUUGCUUCCCAACCACAUGGUUCUUGGUUCUGUCCCACUAUGUGGCACCUUGGGUAAGUGUCUUUUUUUAUAGCCUCCAGGCCAUUUGAUAGAUGGAAAUCAAAAGAAGCUUAUUGUGUGUGUGUGUGUGUGUGUGUGUGUGUGUGUGUGUGUGUGUGUGUGUGUGUGUGUGUGUGUGUGUGUGUGUGUGUGUGUGUGUGUGUGUGUGUGUCUGUCCUCACCACCACCACUCAGCAAAUAGUGUUGGUUUCUGUACGUUUAAUAACUUAGCAAUUUGGCAAAAGAGACCAUUAGAAUGAGUACCAGACUUUAAAAUAAGUACUGGGUUCCAUUAUUAUCAUCAUCAACAUUAAUGUCCAUUUUCCAUGCUGGCAUGGGUGGACAGCUUAACAAGAACUGGCAAGGUCAGGGGACACAUCAGGUUCCAUAGCCUGUUUUGCCUUGGUUUCUACAGCUAGGUGCCCUUCCUAAUGCCAACCACUUUGCAGAGUGUACAAGGUGCUUUUUACGUGGCACUAGUACCAGUGAUUUCACAUGACACCAUCACCAAUGCUUUUUAUAUGGCACCAGCACCCAUACCAAUGUUUUUUAUGUGGUACCUUGAUUUUAGCAUCUUACUUCUGUUGUGGUGGGCAGGUUUCAACUCAACUAAAUUCUUCAAGGCUGUUCCCUUGCAUGGCCACAAUCCAAUGACUGAAACAAGUAAAAUAUAAAAGAGAUAAGAUGUUUUGCAUGUUAGUAGUAUAUAAAAUCCGUUCUGUCUGUCUGCGUGUGUGUCUUCUAGGAUCUCGGGCAUCCUCCAUCUGAUUGCGCUCAAAUUUGAUAUAUAGAUACCGACAGUAUCAGGGCGUGUAUAAGUCUUGAAAAAAUUACAAAAAUCGAUUCUAGGUGAGAAUGUGAUCAAUAAAGUCGUGGGAACAUGCAUUUGUACACACAAGUACAUCAGCUGUUGCAAUUGGUAAUUUUAUUUUUUAUUUUGCUGGUGUCUCAAAUUUAGGUUAAAUCAGUGUUUCUCAAAGGGGAAGCCUAUGGGACAGUCAGACAAGUUGUUUUGAGAAAAUUUAAUUUAAAUGUUUGACAACUCAGCACCAUCUAUUGGACGGGGGGGGGGGGGGGCGUUUUGCUCGUAUUACCUACAAUCCCUUCCUGAAUAUCUUUGUAUUUUAGAUGUGUUAAUAUCCUACAUGUGUUUAAGGUAGAAAGCUGGCAGAAUUGUUAGCACGCUGAGCAAAAUGCUUAGUAGCAUUUCAUUCAUAUUUGCGUUCAGAGUUCAAAUUCCACUGAGGUCGACUUUGCCUCUUAUCCUUUCAGAGUCGAUAAAAUAAUUACCAGUUGAGCACUGGGGUCACCGUAACCAACUUACUCCCCCUCCCUGAAAUACUGGCCUUGUGCCACAAUUUGAAACCAAUAUCCAACAUGUGUUAGAACUGAAAUUUAAAGACCAUAUUUUAAAUACAGAAUAAUGACAUACGUCUUGGAAAUAUCACUUAGCUGAAACCAUCAUACAUCAAAACUGUUGUACUUUAACACUCCUGAAAUGUGAUCCUUGAAUAUAAACCUGUUUUUUUGGCAGUAUGUUAUUGCAGUGCAACUUACAAGUAGUUUGUCCAUUCUACUUGGUAUGCUUGAAGAAUACAUUUGUUGGUGUUAUUGUUUCUCAUUACUGAUGAUGAUGAUGUGUGUGUGUGAUGGUGGCGAUGCCGGUGCUGCUGCUGCUGGAAGUGGUGGUGAUGGUGUUGGUGGUUUUGUUGGAGGAGGAGGGAGGAUGGGAGGGGGUGGGAGAGGGGAGGGGGGAGAUGAGGAGGCGGAGGGGGGAGGAGGAGGGUGAAAUGCAGAGGAGGGUGAGAUGAGGAGGCAGAGGAGAGGAGGAGGAUGGGGCGGAGAGGAGGAGGCGGAGAGGAGGGGGAUGGAGGAGGAGGGGAGGAGGGGAGGGGGAGGAGGGGAGGGGGAGGAGGAGGGAGGAGGAGGAGGCCUGUAUAUCUGUUUGAACAGAUCUAUGUAGGAGAAGUAACUCGUGGAAUAUUCAGAUAGCAGCAGUUUGUAAAUCAUGAUCCUUAGACAUUUGAUGCAAUGCUCCAGGCUUGUCUGAACUCAUGCUGCAUAUUCUACCAUGCAUUGGUCAGUAGUGUUGAGAUGCAGUGCACAACAAUCUUCUAGUCGUUCAGUACAUUUUAUUUGCUGUGCGUCCUGUCUUCCUUUAGAGACAUGUAUACUCACAUACGUGUGUGUGUGACUCUCUGUGUGUGUGUGUGUGUGUCCUUGUUAAACAUUGUGUAAUUGUUGUAAAUGAACACCACCAUCAUACAAGCAGUGCCCCUCAUUUCCAAUCUUCCAUGAACAUACGUCUAUCCAUGGUGAAAUAUUAUCUUGCUUAGAAACAGAUGAGAGUUAACAACAAGAAUACUUAGUCCAGCAGUAGAAAAUCUGUCUCCUGUGAAUUCUAUUUGAUCCAUGCAAGUGUGGAAAAGUGAACUUUAAAAUGAUGAUAAUGAUAAUGAUGGUGAUGAAUAUUAGUUACAGCAUAUGUUAAGCUAUAACUCCCAUAUUAUAUGUACAGGGGUUGGACAAAAUAAUGGAAACACCUAGCAUCAUAGCAUCAUAAUUUUGAAAUAUCUAUAAAACCAUCAAAAGCUUGUUUAUUUUUAUGUAUUUUGAUUUAUUAUUAGUGUUGCUUUAUAUAUUUUUUCUAAAAUUGCUGUUUCUUUUCAGAUAUCAUCAGAAAAAGGUAAAUAAAAUUCAUUAAUAUGACAGAUCUAUUGGACUUUCACUGAAGUCAAAUUGUUGGUGCUCAUGUGGCAGGUGCUAGCGUAAUGAAAACAGCUGAAAUGUUUGGUGUCUCAAGAAGUACUGUCUCAAAAGUAAUGAUAACCUUUGAGAAAGAGGAAAAAAACCUCCUCAGCGAAACAAAACUCCGG
rnacentral:lncRNA from 1 species